rfam:Mycoplasma hyorhinis SK76, complete genome.
AAAUGAAGUACUAAAAAAAGUGAAGAGCCUUGGUAGAGAUCUUUGACUCAAAUCAACCAAGGCAAGAAAAAAUAAAAAAAAUUUAUAA